rnacentral:rRNA from 1 species
AGAGUUUGAUCCUGGCUCAGAUUGAACGCUGGCGGCAUGCCUAACACAUGCAAGUCGAACGAGAGUAAAGGGGCAACUCUUUACUCUAGUGGCGGACGGGUGAGGAAUGCGUAGGAAUCUACCUUAGAGUGGGGGAUAACUCGGGGAAACUCGAGCUAAUACCGCAUACGUUCUACGGAGUAAAGGGGGCGAAAGCUCUC